AAACUAACCAGGAUUCCCCUAGUAACGGCGAGUGAACCGGGAUCAGCCCAACUUGAAAAUCUCUUCGGAGAAUUGUAGUCUAUAGAAGCGUCCUCUGUAGCGGUACUUUCCCAAGUCCGGUGGAAGCCGGCGUCAGAGAGGGUGAAAACCCCGUCGGAAACGUGCUUAGCUGCUCCACGAGGUGCUUUCCACGAGUCGGGUUGUUUGGGAAUGCAGCCCAAAUCGGGAGGUAAAUCCCUUCUAAGGCUGAAUACUGGCGAGAGACCGAUAGCGAACAAGUACCGUGAGGGAAAGAUGAAAAGAACUUUGAAAAGAGAGUUAAAAAGUGCUUGAAAUUGUUGAGAGGGAAGCGAUUGGAAGCCGUGUAUGCGCCUGGGUCGAUGUGUAUCUUAACGGAUGCUCUGUAGAUGCCAGGUGCUGGUCAACAUGGGUUCGUUGGCCGGGAUAAAUGCUUGGGGUGAUUCCCUUUGUUUAUGCCGGUUGAUGGACCAAGGCGUUGAACGUUGCUUUGUCCUAUGGAACUGCAUCGUCAAUAUGUUGGCAGAAGGCUUCCAAUCGGC
rnacentral:rRNA from 1 species